UCCGAGAGGAACCUUCACCCCCCGGGGGAGGCCGGGUGGGAUGGUAGACUUUUUCUUCGCCACUAGUGG
rnacentral:tRNA from 1 species